GAGACAUUGGUGUAACGGUUAGCACAGCAGUUUGUGGAACUGCUAGCAGGGGUUCGAUUCCCCUAUGUCUCC
rnacentral:tRNA from 1 species